AUUGAACGCUGGCGGCAUGCUUUACACAUGCAAGUCGAACGGUAACAGGCCUUCGUGUGCUGACGAGUGGCGAACGGGUGAGUAAUUCAUCGGAACGUACCCAGAGGUUGGGGUUAACGCAGCGAAAGCUGUGCUAAUACCGCAUGUGAUCUGAGGAUGAAAGCGGGGGACCGAGCAGCAAUGUUUGGCCUCGCGCCUUUGGAGCGGCCGAUGUCGGAUUAGCUAGUUGGUGGGGUAAAGGCCUACCAAGGCGACGAUCCGUAGCUGGUCUGAGAGGACGACCAGCCACACUGGGACUGAGACACGGCCCAGACUCCUACGGGAGGCAGCAGUGGGGAAUUUUGGACAAUGGGCGCAAGCCUGAUCCAGCAAUGCCGCGUGCGGGAAGAAGGCCUUCGGGUUGUAAACCGCUUUUGGCAGGAACGAAACGGUGUCCGCUAAUACCGGGCGCUAAUGACGGUACCUGCAGAAUAAGCACCGGCUAACUACGUG
rnacentral:rRNA from 1 species